UACGUAGGGUGCGAGCGUUGUCCGGAAUUAUUGGGCGUAAAGAGCUCGUAGGCGGUGUGUCACGUCGGCCGUGAAAACCUGCAGCUUAACUGUGGGCGUGCGGUCGAUACGGGCAUCACUGGAGUUCGGCAGGGGAGACUGGAAUUCCUGGUGUAGCGGUGAAAUGCGCAGAUAUCAGGAGGAACACCGGUGGCGAAGGCGGGGUCUCUGGGC
rnacentral:rRNA from 1 species